rnacentral:rRNA from 1 species
GUCUUGUUGUUCAUAAUAAUAAGUCUAUUCUGCCCAUUGAUUUAAAUUAAAAGGCUGCAGUAUACUGACUGUACAAAGGUAGCAUAAUCAAUUGUUUUUUAAUUGAAAACUGGAAUGAACGAAUUGAUGAAAUAUAAUUUGUCUCAGAAUAAUAGAAUUGAAUUUAAAUUAAGAGUAAAAAUGCUUUUAUUUAAUUAUUAGACGAUAAGACCCUAUAGAAUUUUAUAAAAUUUAUUUAUUAAAGAUUAUAUGUAUUAAAAUAUUUAAUAAAUAAUUAUAUUUUAUUGGGAGGAUAUUUAAAUUUAUAGAACUUUAAGAAUGCACAAACAUUAAUUAAUGAGUAUUUGAUUAUUAUUAUAAUUAUUAGAAUAAAUUACCUUAGGGAUAACAGCGUAAUAAUUUUGGAGAGUUCAUAUCGAUAAAAUUGAUUGCGACCUCGAUGUUGAAUUAUGAUAAAAAUUAAAUGGAGAGAUUUAAAAUUUUAGUCUGUUCGACUAUUAAAAUCAUACA